rnacentral:lncRNA from 1 species
AAAUUAUCCCAAUAAGUUCGAUAAUUGUUCACGAAGAACAAGAAAGGAAGCAACCUUGCCUCUGAUUAAUUCAAAAUAUCAAAAGUUCUACAAUGAAUAAAAAUAAACCCUAUUUAUAUCAAGUCCUCAAAACCCUAAUUUUAAAUGAAAAUUUCAUGCAAAAUAUUAAAGAAAAUACUAAAAGAUUAGAAGUCUAAAUAAAAUAGGAAACUUGCGAAAAUUGCAUCAUUG